rnacentral:rRNA from 1 species
AUCGAUGAAGAACGCAGCGAAAUGCGAUAAGUAAUGUGAAUUGCAGAAUUCAGUGAAUCAUCGAAUCUUUGAACGCACCUUGCGCUCCUUGGUAUUCCGAGGAGCAUGCCUGUUUGAGUGUCAUUAAAUUCUCAACCUCACCAGUUUUGUAACGAGACUGGUGAAGGCUUGGAUGUGGGGGUUUUGCAGGCUGCCUUAGUGCUGGUCUGCUCCUCUGAAAUGCAUUAGCGAGCUCAUACUUGAGCCUCCGUCUAUUGGUGUGAUAAUUAUCUAUGCCGUGGAUUGGACUCAUGCUUGCUUCUAACCGUCCGCAAGGACAAUUUACUUGACCAAUUUGACCUCAAAUCAGGUAGGACUACCCGCUGAACUUAAGCAUAUCAAUAAGCGGAGGAA